CCGGCUUUGGUAUCGAACCUGUGUAAAAGUUGUCCACAUCAAACUUCUUGAGAAAUUUUUUGUCUUAGGGUCACAAUGUGAUUUUGCUAUAUGGCAAAAGACAGGUGAAUUUCAUUCUAAGAAUCUGAANAACGAUAGACCAUAGUAUACAUACUCGGGAAAUCUGAGAUGUAAAUUUAAAUUGAUCUUCCUCAACUUGUACAAAUUCCUAAUAGUCAUAUGCAAUUUUGUACAGGAUCAAUAAUU
rnacentral:misc_RNA from 1 species